rnacentral:rRNA from 1 species
UACAGAGGUCCCAAGCGUUGUUCGGAUUCACUGGGCGUAAAGGGUGCGUAGGCGGUGAGGUAAGUCGGAUGUGAAAGCCUUGAGCCUAACUCAAGAAAUGCAUUCAGGACUGGAUGACUAGAGGACCGGAGAGGAUAGUGGAAUUCCCAGUGUAGUGGUGAAAUACGUAGAGAUUGGGAAGAACACCAGUGGCGAAGGCGGCUAUCUGGACGGUUUCUGACGCUAAGACGCGAAAGCGUGGGGAGCAAACAGG